CCUUAAGUGGCUUAUGCACCUAGGAUACCUGACUCCAGCAGAUGAGCUUCUAUUUGUGGAUGGCUAAAACAGAACUAGGGGCCUCCCUGCAGUCAGCCUAUCACUAAGAGAGGGACAGGGCUUAGCAACCUCUCCUAUAGCUAGUGUCUCCCAUUGGCUAGCUUAGGUGGCUAGCGUUGCUAGGCGUCUAUGUCUCCCCAUUCAUCAUACAGAGAGCCUAGGCCUGGAACAUGGCUCUCUGGAUAGUAGUGUUGUUCCUGUGAUUUUCUAGGCACCUAGAAGUGCUCACAUCUGCUGAAAUGUCGUUGCUCCAUGUUACUGGGAACGAAAAGCUCUUCAUUACCUUAAGGAAUGGGAUGGAUGUAUUCCCCCCAUGUCUCCACUGGAGCUUCUUCCUUGAGGGAAUUGAAGCAGUUGGCAGAAUGCAAGAGACAAGAUGGCAAACAGGUGCAGAAUGACUGAGCCAAAACAUGUGAAACUCCUGAAGAAACGGAGAGUGGAAAUCCCUAUUCAGGGGAACAAGUACUCUGAUUUCCUCCAUUCGGAGCACAAACAUAAGGGGCAGAGAAGGUAAACUUUUUGGAGUAAUUAGACAUUACAGUGGUUUAAAAUACAAUGUUUCAAACUAGGGGACACAGACCAGAAGUGCUUAUUCACCUCCCUGCCCUUCAAUCUCCAGAAGUUCCAGAAUUUCUAAUUAAAGCAGAAGAUGUUCAAGGAGGAAGCAGAUGCUGUUAGGAAUCAGGAAGUGUGAAUAAACUGCUGCAGGGGUUUGAACUUGUCACACACAA